UAAAUCUGAAAGCAAAAAAUCGAUUGAACCCAACAAAAAUCGGAUAAGCACCAAUAUAACUCAGCAACAACAAAUAACAGCAAAAUGAAUGACGAGCUCGAUCAAACUAACAACAAGCAUCGAUCAAAAUCAACAAGAAAGCCCGAUUUACUGUUCUCUGGUUUCUUUCAAGGAAAGCCUUAAUUUUCUUUUGUGUUUGUCUUUUCAGAAAGGAGAUGAGGGUGGCUAGCUUUUACUGAGGAAGCUCAUUUUUCUUGUGAAUAAAAAAAACAAUCGAAGACGAAAGAUUGAAGCGUGCCGUUUUCUCAUUUCAGGGGUCUAAUUAUUCGAUGGACUUUUUUUUUAUCUUGGGAAAAAUGGAAUCCAUCGAAACAUGGUCCACCAAAGAUAUAAAGUUUCAGCUUCUUCAAAUUGCUACCAACGAAAAGGAACUCAACUGAAUUCCAUUGUGAGCCGUUUUUCAUUUUUUGCGAACAAAGAAAGGGGUCGCAAAUGUAU
rnacentral:lncRNA from 1 species